UACGUAGGGUGCAAGCGUUAAUCGGAUUUACUGGGCGUAAAGCGUGCGCAGGCGGCUUUGCAAGACAGAUGUGAAAUCCCCGGGCUUAACCUGGGAACUGCAUUUGUGACUGCAUGGCUGGAGUGCGGCAGAGGGGGAUGGAAUUCCGCGUGUAGCAGUGAAAUGCGUAGAUAUGCGGAGGAACACCGAUGGCGAAGGCAAUCCCCUGGGCCUGCACUGACGCUCAUGCACGAAAGCGUGGGGAGCAAACAGG
rnacentral:rRNA from 1 species